rnacentral:rRNA from 1 species
UACGAAGGGGCUAGCGUUGCUCGGAAUCACUGGGCGUAAAGGGUGCGUAGGCGGGUCUUAAGUCAGGGUGAAAUCCUGGAGCUCAACUCCAGAACUGCCUUUGAUACUGAAGAUCUUGAGUUCGGGAGAGGUGAGUGGAACUGCGAGUGUAGAGGUGAAAUUCGUAGAUAUUCGCAAGAACACCAGUGGCGAAGGCGGCUCACUGGCCCGGUACUGACGCUGAGGGGCGAAAGCGUGGGGAGCGAACAGG